UACGUAGGGUGCGAGCGUUAAUCGGAAUUACUGGGCGUAAAGGGUGCGCAGGCGGCGUCGCAAGUCAGGCGUGAAAUCCCCGGGCUUAACCUGGGAAUGGCACUUGAAACUACGAUGCUGGAGUAUGGCAGAGGGAGGUGGAAUUCCACGUGUAGCGGUGAAAUGCGUAGAGAUGUGGAGGAACACCGAUGGCGAAGGCAGCCUCCUGGGCCAAUACUGACGCUCAUGCACGAAAGCGUGGGGAGCAAACAGG
rnacentral:rRNA from 2 species